GCUGGCGGCGUGCCUAAUACAUGCAAGUCGAACGAGUUCUCGUUGAUGAUCGGUGCUUGCACCGAGAUUCAACAUGGAACGAGUGGCGGACGGGUGAGUAACACGUGGGUAACCUGCCCUUAAGUGGGGGAUAACAUUUGGAAACAGAUGCUAAUACCGCAUAGAUCCAAGAACCGCAUGGUUCUUGGCUGAAAGAUGGCGUAAGCUAUCGCUUUUGGAUGGACCCGCGGCGUAUUAGCUAGUUGGUGAGGUAAUGGCUCACCAAGGCGAUGAUACGUAGCCGAACUGAGAGGUUGAUCGGCCACAUUGGGACUGAGACACGGCCCAAACUCCUACGGGAGGCAGCAGUAGGGAAUCUUCCACAAUGGACGCAAGUCUGAUGGAGCAACGCCGCGUGAGUGAAGAAGGCUUUCGGGUCGUAAAACUCUGUUGUUGGAGAAGAAUGGUCGGCAGAGUAACUGUUGUCGGCGUGACGGUAUCCAACCAGAAAGCCACGGCUAACUACGUGCCAGCAGCCGCGGUAAUACGUAGGUGGCAAGCGUUAUCCGGAUUUAUUGGGCGUAAAGCGAGCGCAGGCGGUUUUUUAAGUCUGAUGUGAAAGCCCUCGGCUUAACCGAGGAAGCGCAUCGGAAACUGGGAAACUUGAGUGCAGAAGAGGACAGUGGAACU
rnacentral:rRNA from 2 species